CCAAAUAUAGAUAACAUUAAGACAACAACAGUUCAGUACAAACAUAACAUAUCACAGAUUGAAAAGAAAUACUACCCUGGUUCGCUAAGGUCUUGUUUCUUUACACGUUAUGCAAGGUCAUUCAUUACUAGAACAAGGAAAUGAAAUGUUUUUUCAUAAAUUCAUGAGGUGAAAACAGGUGGGUGUUAUUUUGUGAGUGCUCAAUUUUCACCUCCACUUAGCUACUAGGUUGGAUAAUUAUGAGAGAUGUGAUUCAUGAUAUUUGGUUUAAAAGAAGGAAAGAGUGGAGUGGAAAGUAGAGAAAAGAAGCAUAAUCUAGAUUAGAUACACACUGGUUCCCCUUCCAAUUUCAGAUUACUUCUUAAUCUCUUCUCAUGGAACCGGUCUUUCUAACCAUUGUUGUAGUUCUGAUCUUCUUCUUAGCACGAUGAAUAAACUCAGAAAAAUGGUCUUUAUUAUGGCUUUCAUUUUUGUUGGUAACAUGACCUUCAUGAUCUGGUUCAGCUGCAGGGUAAUUGCUCUGUCUCCAACCAAUGUUUGUCACGGUUCUGCUGAUCUUGCCCUUAGCACGUUUGAUGAAAUCACUGAAUGUGUCAUUAAUAUCCUCCGGUUUCUUACCUUCAGAGACAGAACCAGAAAAAAAUAGGUGAAGUAGAUGAAAACUUAACAUAUCAAGCAAAAUUAACGGUCACUAGUUUGAAGCGGCCGUAUAAAAAUUUUACGGAGGAAAACAACAUUUGAAUACUAUUUAUAAGAAAAAAAUUAUUCUUGGUAAGUGACUGUCUCAUUUUCUCACUACCUAGGUUUGUCCUUGCUUACCUUGAUGCUCAAAGUUCACCACAUGAUGCUCAUGCACCACAUGAACAUGUUGUGCCCCCAAAUGGCCUUGAACCCCUUCUUUUUUGGGGUGUUUCCCUUGAAUGGGAACAUACUGUGGUUGAGGUUCAUGUUCUACCUUGGCAGCUACUUUUGUUGCUCUUUCUGAGUUUCCAACAUGAGCUGAAGCACCUUUGGGUAUACUCUUGUAAGGUAUUAGGUCCCAGGCCAGGUCUGACCAUGCCCAGCUUAAGAUCAAUUCUAGUUGCCAGCUCUCCUGUCUUGCAUCUCUUUCUAUGCAUCUAUUGAGUCAUUAAUUGGGCUUUAGCUGUCUUCGAUAUAUAUGAUUGGGUUGGGCCAUUAAUCAAUUUUUUUACAAUGAAUCCAAUUUAAUUGCAUGUAGCUUAUAUUUUCGGGGAAUGGAUCUCACAUGAGAGAGCCAUCAAUAUCUUUUGAGCUUUUUGAUUUCAAAUUGACUUAUUGAGAAUAAAUAUUAGUCAUUUGAUCUUUGUCCGAUAGCCUGGAAUAGUUUAUAGUUGAUUGUAGUAACUACACAAAUUUACUCUAUGAUAUGUUCUUCCAAGUAAAGCAUGUUGAUACAUUUGAGUAAACAACUUAGUUAAACACUUUGUCAAUAAAUGCCUAUAGCAUAGGUAGAGGUGUUUUUCGACUGGUUCGACGAUGGUUUAGGUGGGUUGUUUCGGUUUAGAUCAAUGCUUGCUCAUGUUCAAAGUUUUUGGGUUUUCUGGUAAAAUAAUUGGAGAAAUGAAAGAAGAAACCAUAAGAAGAGAAAUAAUGAGAUUGGUUCUUCCUUUAUAGAGGUCUGAUAAUGCAGCCCCUACCUCUUCAGCCUCCACAUCUAGUUUCGAGCGGGUAGAAAUGAGAAGAGUGACCAAAUAAAUGCUGAUAAAAUAUAGAUUGAAAAAUGGUGCUAAAAAUAUAUAAAUCAAAAGGAAAUAAAAAUGAAGAUACAUUGGGGUUAAGGAGGCAGUGGAUGAAAGCUAGGUGUAAGGGGGUAUGAAGAGGCGAAGAGUGAGGGUGCACAAACUAGGGUUAUCAGUAGGCAAGGGUUAAUGAGGUGUCCGACUAACUCUAAGAGUAGGCAUCAGGAAAAUCUAAGGUAGGGGACAGUCGGCUCGGGAAUCAGUGGAGGUUUAUUUAUAAACAUGCAUUCGAUAGUCAGAACUGUUUCCAAUAAGUUUGUUUGCACUCAUGAAACCUGUUUUCCAACCCGACCUUGACAACUGCACAAAAAAUCCUCAGGCUCAUUGGUUUCGGGUUGAAACACAGAUUACUGAGUAGUCCUAUUGCAUAAGAGUUUAGUUAUACGUAAAUUUAAAAAAAUUAUUGAAAUAAACUCAAAAUAAAUGAUAGAUGGAUAUUAAUGUUUAUACAUAAGCUAAUAAUAUUACUUCAAAAUAGGUUAAGGAGGAGUCAUAAGCUCUCUCAAACACUUGUAUCAACACUUAUGCUACAAGAUAAGUUCAAAUACGUUCUUUUAAACGGCGCAAGUGAAUUGUAACUUGUAAGUAUAAAGGGCCUUGAAAGGAGCAUAUAAAACGUAAUUACGUCAAAAAUCUCAAAAUAAAAUAACAAUAUAAUCAACUUGAAGAAGAAACAAGAGAACAUAAUCCAAAUAUAGAUAACAUUAAGACAACAACAGUUCAGUACAAACAUAACAUAUCACAGAUUGAAAAGAAAUACUACCCUGGUUCGCUAAGGUCUUGUUUCUUUACACGUUAUGCAAGGUCAUUCAUUACUAGAACAAGGAAAUGAAAUGUUUUUUCAUAAAUUCAUGAGGUGAAAACAGGUGGGUGUUAUUUUGUGAGUGCUCAAUUUUCACCUCCACUUAGCUACUAGGUUGGAUAAUUAUGAGAGAUGUGAUUCAUGAUAUUUGGUUUAAAAGAAGGAAAGAGUGGAGUGGAAAGUAGAGAAAAGAAGCAUAAUCUAGAUUAGAUACACACUGGUUCCCCUUCCAAUUUCAGAUUACUUCUUAAUCUCUUCUCAUGGAACCGGUCUUUCUAACCAUUGUUGUAGUUCUGAUCUUCUUCUUAGCACGAUGAAUAAACUCAGAAAAAUGGUCUUUAUUAU
rnacentral:lncRNA from 1 species